UGCCUUUAGCCUAUUAAAUAGCCAAAGUUUGUUUUUGGCAUGUGUAGUUGUUGAAACCUACUUUUGUUCAUCUCAUAAACAGUAGUGUUUCCGGAUGUGUAAGAUAAAAUUUUUCAGUAAACUCUUUCAGUACCAUAUGCAUUAAACAACAAUCUAUCAAUGUUUUAAAAAUGAGUCUGUUUAUCAUCCAGAAUAAAUUUCUAAUAGUAAGGAGGAUUCUUUUGAUUAAUUUCAGUUGAUAGAAGGAAGCAGACUUGGUAGAAGGAAGUCUAGAAUUUUAAUUAAAAUCCCCCUUCAGAUUUGCCACACUGGGCAUUCACAUGAACUGAAAGUCCAAAUUAGAGCAAAUAUGCAUGUACUCCUCUGGUGAUCACACUCCCAACAGUGCCUGUUGGUAACAUCAGGGACUGCUCUGUAGGAGGCUGUAGGGUUGUGUGUUUCUCCAUCCCCUACACAGAAUCACAGAAUCAAAGAAUGGCUUGGGCUGGAAGAGACUUUAUAGAUCAUCUAGUUCCAGCCUCCUGCCAUGGGCACACUGGGUGUGCUGUGUUUCCAGCUGCAAGUACUAUGUAAGCUUGACUUUGUGGAGUGAGAGCUAGAAGUAUUUGUUGAGGAGAAAUGCUGGGCCUGACCCCACAUCUUUGCAUUGGAAACAAACAAUAAACAAGCUGUUGGCCUCACAUGCCAGCCUGAGUCACUGCCCCCUGGUCCAAUGGAUGCUCACUCCUCAGCUGGAGAAAAGAGAACUGAAAAUCCUUCCAUGCAGCUAAUGCAGGAUCACCCUGGAGCUCUUUCUGCUUAGUUCUGCAAAGAGUCCCUUUGCAUCCACGGUGCUGAAAUGAGACUUUUCUUGCCUGGCAGCCAUGGGGAGAACUGUGUCUAAACAAGCAGGAACAGGAAUGGCUGUCAGUGGAGUGCUUGACGGUAUCUUCAAAGCAGAAGAACAGAGUAAACAUUUGCUGUGUGUGCUCUAUGAGGUGUCAAUGAAAAUUUUAUCCCUCCCAUCCUCAUCUGUGAAGUGAUGGAUGGGGAAAACCUGACUUCUUUGUUUCUGACGUGGAUCAGCUCCGUCUGGUGGUUUUCACUUAGAACAAUAAACCAGAACUCCCAAGCCCUAUCCUGACUCUGUGGCCAUCAUACUGGGUGGUCUUGGCACACCUUACAGGUAUGUCUCCUGUGCAGAUGUGUUUUGUGAAAAGCUUAAAAAGAUCUAUUUCCUAGACUGGGUGCUGUCAAAAGCAUGGGACGCUGUUUGUUCUAAUGAGGCAUCUUUUAUUCUUGGUCAUAACUUGAAAGCAGUUGAGGUUUUGGCAUCAUGGAAUUACGCUCCGUAGGUGAGUUAACCUUGCAACUAAAUAAUACUUCAGCUUGGCUGGAAUCUGAAUACCAUCGUGGCCCUACUUCAUUGUGACUGAUUCAUGGUCUAGGAUGGAAAACACAUCAGAAUUUGGUGGUUUUUUGACCUUCAAACAAAUGAAACCUUGGAGCUGUGGAGUGUUUUCUGUUGGUUAAUAAAACUGGAUUCUUUGCAUGUGAAAUUGUAGACUUUUCCCUUCAAAGUUCCGCACAGAGACUUUUAGAAAAUAACGUCUUGAGGAGAGAAUAGCAAUGUUUAGUAUAAAAACCGUCAUGCACAGUAAUACCAUGAGACUGCAAAGAAGUAACAUAUCCCAAAGUUCAAGUGUUGCUUUUUUUUUUCCCAAGAAUGAGAGUUAUCACAAUAAAACUGUAGAGUAAUUUUAAUAAAAUGUCUUAUUUGUUCUUAACACAUUUUCUUAUAGCUGCAUGAAAUGAGCCUUACUGGAGUAAAUUCAGAGAAGACUCUGCAAAUGCAAAUAGGUUGUACCCUUCUGCAUUAUCUUGAGUAGAAAUCCACACGAAGCUCACACACAUAUUCUGCUUCUGUUCAUGGUGGUUACAGAGCCUUUAGUACCAAUAAUUAGGAGUCAUCCCUCAUAAAGCACUAACAAGUUAGUGAAAUGUCAGAGGAUUUCCCUCUGUGUUCGGUUUCAUUACAAAGUCUUCUACUUUCUAUUUUCUUAGUAGAUACAAUUAAUGACACUGAAGACUUCUCAGGGUAGAAAAUUAAACUGAGAAUUUGAAGAAAUGCCAGUGGCUUAAGAAGAGCGUUUACUGACAACUCUGUUUUCAAGCUCCCAAAUAUAUCAAUUGUUUGAUUUUCACCCACCAAGCCCUGGCUCCAGAUUUGAUACAUGGUAUUAACUGCAUCAGUUUGCUAAAGGAAAUUGCAGCAGAGCUUAGUUAUAUAAAACAGUUCUUUGAACUUUAAGGUGAAACUAGAACUCUGUCUUUAAGAUGACUCAUUGCCUUCAAAUAUUUUUUCUAAAUACUUCCUUUAAAAAUUGAUUUUAAUUUGUGUCACUGACAAUAUGCAUAUCCACAAUUCACUCACCUGGAAGAGAGCAGCACGAGGAGAAUAAAUUGCAUGCAGUGGAUCUGAGAUACUGCUCUAAGCUGGAAUAAGGCUCUGGAUUUCAGAAACCACCUCAGUUUGCCAGCAGUGACCACCAAAAACAAGUUAGUGUCAUAUAUUCAAGAAAUGAAAACCACAUUCGUGCCUUGUAUUUAAUGUGGAAAAAAACUAAAUAUCCUUAGAGAAAGGGGAUGUAUAAGGUAAAAUAACAAGAAGUGCAAGUGGGAAGACAAGAAAUUCUUAGUGUGCCCAUGUACACAGCACCAGGAUACCUGAAGCACUCCCCUAUUCUCACGGAUGGAAAGAAUAAAGCAACUGUAGACCAGAAUGCCUACAUUCAGUACAAAUGUAUGAAAAAGUAAGACAUUUGAAUCCAGGAAAUACUCCGGUUGCCUCAGAUGUUGUUACAGGACCAAGACCUGAGUUGGCUGAUGUCAGGCUUGGAAGUUUAAAGCAGCUUUAAGCAGAUCUGUGGAUGGAAGAAGUGCAUAACUGAUGGGUUCAUUAUCGUUCAUCACCCAAGUAGGUGAAAAUGAGCUGAUUUCGGUGCACUUUUAUUAGAAUUUUGAUUCAAGGAAAAUUGGGAACAACAAUCCCUGUUGCCAGAAGAACUGUUAUAUGAAGUUGUGGUUGGAAACUGCAGUGUGUAAUACUGCUGUAGCAGGGCUUUUCAUCUCCCUUUUUGCUUUUGCAGAGGAUUGUUUCAUGCAGUGAGUUCUGAGCUUUUUUGUCAAGGUUUACUUUAAAGUUUGAAAUUGAUGGGCUUCCCACUAUUUCCCCGAAGCAAGUUUUCUUUGCAAUGAAUCUUCUCAACAAACUUCUUUGGAGCUUGUACCUUACCAGUGGGAUAACGCUGGCGGUCAGUGUGCUUGCAUAAUCUUCAGGCAUGAGAGAUCUGCCCUUUAAUUUGUCUUCUAGAAGAAAAUGGAGUUUGUGUGACUACAGAUGUUGAUGAUUUAUUUAUACUGCAUGCAUUGAUUCCUAAUUGAAGAAAGAAAGGAAGAAAGUCCCGACUGCUUUCGUGCAACCUCAGCAGCAGUGGGGAAAUGACAGAUGGAAGAACUGCUGUAUGGGACACAGGCGCAGUGCUCUUCGCUCAUCAUAUUGCUGUGCUAUUUGCCUUCAGUAUGUCACUAAAAAUUCAGUAUCUCAAUAACACAUCUGGAGAAGGCUCGUGAAAUCCAAAUGGGCAUUUCUGCCUCACCUGUCUUAAUAGAGGAGAUUCUGAGAUGUUCAGGCUUGCCUCCCCAUCCUCCAGAGGGUUUCUUGUCGGACUGUGGUUGCUAUCUAAUACUUCAAUGUAAACAACAGGAAUAAGAGUGCACCAAAGAUUGUUUUUACACUUUAAUCUUAAAAAACAAAAACAAAAACAAAAAAAAAAAAAACUUUUUUGACCAUGACUGAAACGAAAGACAUGGCACAGAUGAAAUGAAAUGCUUCCUGGCAGGAGAAAGGUGUGGUUCUCUGAGAUAAAAGGAAGGUGCACAUUUUCUCACUACUGAAAUUCUCUGAGGAUGUAUCUUAUAAUAAAUCUGCCCUCCGUACCAUAUGGAUUCAUAAAUUCAGAACAAAUUAAAUAACCAGCCAAUUUUAAAUUUUAAAGAAUAAUGUGGUUAAUAGAUAGAGAAAAGAUCAGAGAGCUAUGAUGUAGCAAGUCCUCUGAAAGUUUCUUAAUGCUGAUGUAGAGAAUGGUUAAUAUAGAAAACUUCAAAAUCAGUAUAUGACUUUCCUGGAAUCUGAUGUGAAGCCAUUAAAAUGGAAGAAAUAAGAUGCAAACCGGUGUGCUUGCAAGAAUUCAAGCAUUUGCAUCCUGGACACUUUGUGUCUGGGGAAGAAGAUGAUCAAAACUUCUGUGAAAGAGUGUUACAUUAAUUUUUGCAAAUCAAAGGUUUUCACAAGAACGUGAAGAUCAUUCCCUCAAUGUAUCACCUUGGCAACAUGUCAAAAAAGGUUGCAUUCCCUUCCUGACUGGCUAUAAAGGGAUGGAUGGAGUUUUGUUUUGUCUUGAGAAAACUCACUGCUGUCUCCCUUUGUAACACAUGAAAUGAGAAAUGACUGUCCGUGGCACAGAGGCCAGCCCUCCCAUGAGUGCUGCAUAUUGGUUUUCAUUGUAUUUCUAAAAGCCUUUUAUUUCCCACCUCUCCCCAUCUCCUAGACCUGGCUACCAAAGCCCAACGAGACCUCAAACCAAACAUGAUUGUAAUGCAACAAGAACAAACCCCAGCUGUAUUUCAAGGUUUGAAAAUAUUUUUCUUUCUAUGUUCAAACAGCUACCUCAACACCAGGCAGUCUCCGUGUUUGAAGCUGUUUAUGGAAAAGCUCUCCUCUCCAUCUUCCAGUGAUGCUUUCUGAGCACUUGAUACUAAUGAUAAUGUAUUGGUGCAGCUUUGUGCUGCUCUGGUACAGUGUAUCAUGGUUUCACCAGCAAUUAGCCAAGCUCUUGAAAUUUCAUUUUCAGAGUUUUUUGCAUGUUUUUAUUUCCUGUGUUACUUUGUUUGAAUUUGAAUGGUGACAGACAGCAAACACCACUUUAAUCCUGACUGUCUUUGGAAAAAAAAUAGCAUCAAUAAAAACAACAGAGGGGGGAGAGAGACAGACCCUUUGAAUUUCCCUAUAGAUAAGUGCUACUUGCUGGGUCUUACAUUUUGUCACAGAACUAGGGCUCAGAAAGGAUUGACAUUACUGGCAUGCCUUGCUCCUCAGACUGAGGGAGCUUCCACUAAGUUGGGCACAACUUUCUGUGCUGUAUUUUCCUUUUGAGCUUCAAGUUUGAAGAAACACCAUACCCCGCAAAGAAAACUCAGUUAUAAAAUUGAGUUUUAUAACUCAGAAGAGAGAGCUGUUUUUCUUGGCUUCCUGGUGAAGAUGAGGUGGAAAAAGUAAGUUCCUCAGCAAAUUUAGGUUGUUGCUAUAUAUAGACCUAGUUUUGUGUAAAGGCAUAGGAGACUUAGGAAACCUGAUAAUGAAAUAUAUGUGAAAGCACAAAGCCAGUUACAUUCAAUAUGAUUUCAGGUUUUAUUGAGAAGACCCUAUAAUGUAUUUUAUGGAGUACUUAAAGCUGACAGUGUAAUAAAGCCAGGCAUAGAACUUGAAUGUACACAGCCAGGCUAGCUCUGCUCGUGGCCAAUUCAAAUGCCUGGGCUGUUGGGGCCUUCUCACCACAAGUUCUUGCACCAAUGCAGUGUAACACUCAUACUAAAAUCUCCGGAACUGAAAUUUGAGUGAGUCGUAUCCAUUUAGUGGUAUCAUCUGACCCCACUGGAAGUAGCUAUUUCUAACUGAAAUCUAUGUUUGCCUAAGAUAUUGCACUUGCUUGAAAAGCAAACUAUAGGUUGAUGGUACUUCUGCAUGGAGGUAUGGUGGCAGGAAUGGGUCCUUCCAUUAGUCCUAAGAUGACCUGUGUGAGCUCUGUGACAGAGCAGUGGGUAAAGCCUUAGUGUGAAGCACAGUCAUGUGAGACACCAUCCCAGUCUGUCCACUGGCAAUCUCAAAUGUGUUCCUUGGUAUCACUUAUUUUCCAGCACUGGAAAAGGGAACAUCAGUAGUUUCAGUGUUAAGGAAGAAUUCAACAGAUACCCUGUAUUUUUAAGGUGAUGUUGUAAGGUGUGAGGUGCCCUUAUAUCAGAUGUGUUUAAAUGCAAACUACAGAUUUUGCUUGCAGGUGUAUAUUACAAAGAUGAUUGUGCUUUUGAUCCUGUGAUAUUUGGAGAUAAAUUCCUUACUUUAAGUCAUGGGUAUGUACAUGGGGGGGGGAGGGUGGAGGGGGUAUGUAAAGCCUGACACAAAUCAGAACAUUCAAUUCUAGAAGUUAUUAAUCGCAUAGAUAGAUUUAAUUUAAAUGCAUUUUUUAUUAAAAAAAAAAAAACACACACAGCUUUCUGUAAGCACAUCAAUGUAGGUCUACCCUUUUAUUUAUGUAUAGGAAGGAUUUAGUUGAAGGUAGGCAGCAGCUGCUUUGAUUGAGCUCGUAAACAUUUUUCCAUGUAUAAAAGGCAGCGUAGAAAAUACACUGAGAAGUUCUUGGAAGAGGAAAACUAGCAGGGCCAGGCAUUGUGGAAGGAAAGAAGUAUAAGGGGAGCUAGAACAGACUUUAGUCUUCUCAUUCAUUUAGUUCCCCAAACUACAGACUCUUGCUUUGUGGGUAAAUAGAGUUAGGGUCUUCAUUCCCUCCUGUGUGGGCAGGAAGGAGCCAUGCACCAUGUGGAGCCUUCAGCAGCAACCCUGUGCUCCACUGGACCUGGGCCACAUCUGGGUGGUUUUUCUUAUAUAAAUGAGAGGCAGAGAAAUUCUCUCCUGCUUUCUGCACUUUACUUUUUCUCAUAUCAGAGGUAUUAUGGACAUCUAAGUGAAAACUACGCUCGGAUCACUGUGUUUAAUAAAAACAAGUCUUCAAUUUUUCAUUCUUAUUGUACUUGCUCCUUACAAAUGCCAUGGAAAUUGCAGGAUUUUUACUUCUUCCAGUUUCUUUUGCAGUCCUUUGGAGAAAGAACAGAGCAGUCCAGUUUUGUAUCCAGGCCUGGGGCCCCCAGCACAAGAAAGACGUGAUGUUGGUGUCCAGAGGAGGCCACAAGCAUGCUCAGAGGGUUGGCGCAUCUCUCCUAACAAGAAAGGCUUCUACAGAUAUCACAACCAGAAUACAAAAGUCCAGGAGAACAUAACCUCCCUAAUGAGUGAAAAAGACAAGCUGGUAAAAACAGAUGAGAAGGCUGAGGUACUUAACAGCUUUUUUGCCUCCGCAUUCUCUGACAACUUCUUGUCACACAGCCCUCAAAUGUUUGGUUUUGUAGGAGGGGAUAGGGGAAGCAGUGUCCCUCCCACUGCAAGCAAAGAUCAGGUGACCACCUGCAGAAUCUGAACAUGCACAAGUCUAUGGGUCCCAAUGAGAUGCGUCCCAGAGCCCUGAGGGAAUUCGCCAAUGUAGUCACCAAGCCACUCUCCAUGACGUUUGAAAAGUCAUGGCAAUCAGGUGAAGUCUUUGGUGACUGGAAAAAAGGCAAUGUCACACCUAUUUCUAAGAAGGGUAAAAAGGAUGAUCCCAGGAACUACCAAUCUCUCAGUCUCAUCUCUGUGCUGGGAAAGGUCAUAGAACAGAUCCUCCAGGAAGUAAUGCUGAGAUAUAUGGAAGACAGGGAGGUGAUACGGAAGAAACAGCAUGGCUUCGCCAAGGGCAUAACCUGCUUGACCAACAUUGUGGCCUUUUAUGAUGGUGUCACUGCAUUAAUGGACAAGGGAAGAGCCACUAAUGUCGUCCAUGUGGACACUGACAUGGUCCCCCACAACAUCCUUUUCUCCAAAUGGGAAAGAUAUGGAUUUGAUUGGUGGACCGUUUGAUGAAUGAAAAAAUGGCCACAGGAUUGUGUCCAGAGAGUGGCGGUCGACAGCUCAGUGUCUCAGUGGAAACCAGUGACGAGUGGUAUCCCCCAGGGGUUGGUGCUGGGGCCGAUACUCUUUAAUAUCUUCAUCAAUGACAUUGACAGUGAGGCCAAGUGCACCCUCAGCAAGUUUGCUGAUGACACUAAGU